rnacentral:snoRNA from 1 species
GGGCAGUGAUGAAACAACAUGCCAACUGCAUUCUUUGAUGAUAAAGAGGCUGUUUCUGAGCUC